UCCUCCUCUAGAAAAUUUACCCUACUCUUCUCAUAUCUUUUUCCGCUUCUAGAUGAUAAAGAUUUAUCUGGGAAGCUGUAUGAUUUGCCGUCCCGAACUGUACCACAUUAAAAGGUGGGCAAGACUCCUGCCUGGUCAUUUAGCGUAUGGUGUUGGAUCCCACAGCUCCCCAAAGGCAAUUUUUCCCAUCGAUGGACACCAGAUCAUUGUUGCUGAGUGGGGGAUAUGAUCUGACAUCACUAAGGUAUCAUCAAGCUCUCUUUAUUUCAUCCUGUGGGAAGUGGGACUUGGAGAUCCAGUGCAAAAAAGUUGAUACUCCGGAUACAGAUAACACUGUGAAUGGUGCAGCUCUUGGGUCUAUGGAGUCAGAACAGCUGGCUGAAAACAUCUAUAAUAUUCUCGGUUUUCCCUUUUGCUUUACCAAAGUAAGAGUGCAUUUUGAUUUCGACUCAAAAUCUCCAGUUUCAAAUUCAUUCCUGGAAUGCCAACCAUAGAAGUCUUCACAAACAGCACAG
rnacentral:lncRNA from 1 species